rnacentral:rRNA from 1 species
CUCGUAGGCGGUUUGUCGCGUCGGAAGUGAAAAACACGGGGCUUAACUCUGUGCUGGCUUUCGAUACGGGCAGACUAGAGGGAUGCAGGGGAGAACGGAAUUCCUGGUGUAGCGGUGAAAUGCGCAGAUAUCAGGAGGAACACCGGUGGCGAAGGCGGUUCUCUGGGCAUUCCCUGACGCUGAGGAGCGAAAGUGUGGGGAGCGAACA